GCCCCGGGACGUAUUCACCGUGACAUUCUGAUUCGGAUUACUAACGAUUCUGACUUUGACAACCGAAUUAAGGAGGGGAAGACGUCCUAUCAUCAUGGCCCUUACGGCCUGGGCUACUCCGUGCUAGAAUGCCCUUUACAAAGGGUUGUCAAGCCGCGAGGUGGACCUAAUCCCAUAAAACCGAUCGUAGUCCGGAUCGCACCCUGCUUCUCGACUGCUUGAAGUCGGAAUCUCUAGUAAUCGUGAAUCAUAAUGUCACGGUGAAUACGUUCCCGGGCCUUGUACACACCGCCCGUG
rnacentral:rRNA from 1 species